UGGGGGAUAUUGCACAAUGGGGGAAACCCUGAUGCAGCGACGCCGCGUGAGGGAAGACGGUCCUCUGGAUUGUAAACCUCUGUCUUCGGGGACGAAACGAGACGGUACCCGAGGAGGAAGCCACGGCUAACUACGUGCCAGCAGCCGCGGUAAUACGUAGGUGGCAAGCGUUGUCCGGAAUUACUGGGUGUAAAGGGAGCGUAGGCGGGCAGGCAAGUCAGGCGUGAAAUAUAUCGGCUCAACCGGUAACGGCGCUUGAAACUGCAGGUCUUGAGUGAAGUUAGAGGUUGGCGGAAUUCCUAUUGUAGCGGUGAAAUGCGUAGAUAUUAGGAGGAACACCAGUGGCGAAGGCGGCCAACUGGGCUUUUACUGACGCUGAGGCUCGAAAGUGUGGGGAGCAAACAGGAUUAGAUACCCUGGUAGUCCACACCGUAAACGAUGAUUACUAGGUGUGGGGGGACUGACCCCUUCCGUGCCGGAGUUAACACAAUAAGUAAUCCACCUGGGGAGUACGGCCGCAAGGUUGAAACUCAAAGGAAUUGACGGGGGCCCGCACAAGCAGUGGAGUAUGUGGUUUAAUUCGACGCAACGCGAAGAACCUUACCAGGUCUUGACAUCGUAUGCAUAAUGUAGAGAUACACGAAGUCCUUCGGGACAUACAGACAGGUGGUGCAUGGUUGUCGUCAGCUCGUGUCGUGAGAUGUUGGGUUAAGUCCCGCAACGAGCGCAACCCUUGUAUUUAGUUGCUACGCAAGAGCACUCUAGAUAGACUGCCGUGGACAACACGGAGGAAGGUGGGGAUGACGUCAAAUCAUCAUGCCCCUUAUGACCUGGGCUACACACGUACUACAAUGGCAAUAGAACAGAGGGAAGCGACUCAGCGAUGAGAAGCAGAUCCCGAAAAAUUGUCUCAGUUCGGAUUGCAGGCUGCAACCCGCCUGCAUGAAGUCGGAAUUGCUAGUAAUCGCGGAUCAGCAUGCCGCGGUGAAUACGUUCCC
rnacentral:rRNA from 1 species